UUAAGAUCAUUUUGAUUGAGCAGAAACAAUCACAGUUUAUUACCGAAUACUUGGCUAUGGCGGAAAAUGAAGAACUUCGAUCAAGUUUCGGAUGUCCUACUAUUUUCGUCACGUUUGGAAGGGAAAAAAGAAAAAUCGUCAGCACAUUCUGGUCAUCAUAUUAUGGAAAUAUUUGUGACUGAAUCCCAUCUGAAUGUUGGAUGACAUAUAUCAAGAUGACACUGAACAGGACAUAACUGAGGAAAAUGGAUGUGAGAUAAUCCAAUCUAACAGUUGGAAAUAAAUAUAUAUAGUAUUUA